rnacentral:rRNA from 1 species
AGAACGAACGCUGGCGGCAGGCUUAACACAUGCAAGUCGAGCGCCCAGCAAGGGGAGCGGCAGACGGGUGAGUAACGCGUGGGAACAUACCCUCCGGUUCGGAAUAGCUCAGGGAAACUUGGAUUAAUACCGGAUACGGCCUAGCGGCGAAAGAUUCAUCGCCGGAGGAUUGGCCCGCGUCUGAUUAGCUAGUUGGUGGGGUAAUGGCCCACCAAGGCGACGAUCAGUAGCUGGUCUGAGAGGAUGAUCAGCCACAUUGGGACUGAGACACGGCCCAAACUCCUACGGGAGGCAGCAGUGGGGAAUAUUGGACAAUGGGCGCAAGCCUGAUCCAGCCAUGCCGCGUGAGUGAUGACGGCCUUAGGGUUGUAAAGCUCUUUCGCUAGGGACGAUAAUGACGGUACCUAGACAAGAAGUCCCGGCUAACUUCGCGCCAGCAGCCGC